GAUGAAGAACGUAGCGAAAUGCGAUAAGUAAUGUGAAUUGCAGAAUUCAGUGAAUCAUCGAAUCUUUGAACGCACAUUGCGCCCGCCAGUAUUCUGGCGGGCAUGCCUGUUCGAGCGUCAUUUCAACCCUCAAGACCCCUUCGGGGGACUUGGUGUUGGGGACCGGCACAGGGCCUGCUUGCUUGUCUCGCAGCGCCUCGCCGCCUCCGAAAUGAAUUGGCGGCCUCGUCGCGGCCUCCUCUGCGUAGUAGCACAACCUCGCAACGGGAGCGUGACGCGGCCACUGCCGUAAAACAACCCAAUUUUAUUAGAGUUGACCUCGAAUCAGGUAGGAAUACCCGCUGAACUUAAGCAUAUCAAUAAGCGGAGGA
rnacentral:misc_RNA from 1 species